rnacentral:pre_miRNA from 1 species
AGCUUUCUGAGUCAGUGCAGAGAUUUUGUCAGACACCAACCCAUUAGAGCUCAUCAGACUUUCAAGAUAAGUGAAGUU